CGCAUGUUCGCUUUCUGGCAUUGUGGGACACAUCCUCCCUCUUGGUGUCUUGGCUUUGUGAUGGCGGGCGAGGGAGGAGGCCUGCCUGAAGAACACAAACUGAAGGUUGCAGAUAGUUCUGUCCACGUUGUCAUGCAGGCAGCCCACCACACCAGCGUGGGGUACACAUCUCCAGUGGGUGGAGGCACGUGAGGACUCCCAGUUACCCUACCCAGGAGGCGGUGGGCCCUUAGUGUCCUCAAUCUGGGAAGGAAGGACAGGCAGCGUGGGAGCCUCCCCUUCCCUCCCACCCACCCUGGGCCUGGAGGUCUGGGCAGCCUGACUGGGCAAAGGUGGCUGCAUUCACAAGCCGACCCGCUCUGAGAGCCCAGGAACUCAGCUGCGCCUGGUGAGCGCUUGGGCGUUGGCCAGCUUGGCUGGAGAGCCACCACCAUGACCCAGCCUCCCACCUCACCCACCCUCUGAGCCUUCCCACACCCACUGUGGAGACUCCCUGUGUGGGGCUCCCUUGCAAGGCUUGGGGUGCAGCAUUCCCUCAGCCAGUGCCGUCCCCUUUGUUCCACUCGAGCCUCUGGCGGGGCCGUGUAUUGACAAACCUAGUGACCAGAAGUGGGGUCUCACUGCUACAUUUUCAGCUUGCGGCUGAGAAUGUAGUGGCUGCACUGCACACUUUCAGCCCUGCUGCUCAGCCCCACCUGCACCCAGCAGCUGUGCUGGGGACAAGGAAGGGGCCUCGGGAGUCAUUAGGGCUGUAGGUCUAGGCCUCACCCGGCUUUCCUGCCCUAGCCGUGGCCACUGCCCUCUGCCAGCCAGGCUGGGGCUUGCUCACAUCCUGAGUCACAUGCUUGCAUGAGUAUCGCAAGGGAGGUACCUGCAUCAUUGACUGAGUCUCGAUUUGUCUUCCAAGAACCAAACCAGCUCAGACCAGUUGGUCUUCUCAGGAUGAUGAUGGUCCAGGGGCCUCUUUAAAUAGCAUCUUUUAGGGGCCUCCAGGCCUGUGCCUGUGGAGCCUGUUCCCAGCAUAGCAGGGAGGAGGGGGGUGGCCGCUGCUUCUCUGGGGCUUUGCUUUUCCUGUCACCAUUGGGGAUCUCUGGGUAGCCGUCAGCUAGCUGUGAAUGUCGUCCCGCGCUCGGAGUCCAUCUCAUUGUAAUGUUGACAUCCGCUGCAAAAGCUGCUGGCGCGUGCUGCUUGGCAAAGCCCCAUUGUUGUCAUCAGCUGCUGGGUGAGUGGAGCUGAAGGCUGGGCCAGCCCAAACGGCUGUGCUAAGGACCGGAGCCACUGCUCCUCUCCCUCCUUGUCCUACUGCCUCUGACCUGGGCUUGUGGGUCAGCCUUCAGGACCCAUGGCUACCGCCUGCCCUUCCCUCCCCUCCCCCUGCCCUUUCCCGUCCUCCGCCUGACCCACUGCCUCCCUGUUUAGGUCAGUUCUACAGCAACGGAGGGCAUUCUGGGAAUGCCGGUGGCGGUGGCGGCGGGGGCGGUGGUGGCUCCUCCGGCUAUGGCUCCUACUACCAAGGUGACAACUACAACUCACCGGUGCCCCCAAAACACGCUGGGAAGAAGCAGCCGCACGGGGGCCAGCAGAAGCCCUCCUACGGCUCGGGCUACCAGUCCCACCAGGGCCAGCAGCAGUCCUACAACCAGAGCCCCUACAGCAACUAUGGCCCUCCACAGGGCAAGCAGAAAGGCUAUAACCAUGGACAAGGCAGCUACUCCUACUCGAACUCCUACAACUCUCCCGGGGGCGGGGGCGGAUCCGACUACAACUACGAGAGCAAAUUCAACUACAGUGGUAGUGGAGGCCGAAGCGGCGGGAACAGCUACGGCUCAGGCGGGGCAUCCUACAACCCAGGGUCACACGGGGGCUACGGCGGAGGUUCUGGGGGCGGCUCCUCAUACCAAGGCAAACAAGGAGGCUACUCACAGUCGAACUACAACUCCCCGGGGUCCGGCCAGAACUACAGUGGCCCUCCCAGCUCCUACCAGUCCUCACAAGGCGGCUAUGGCAGAAACGCAGACCACAGCAUGAACUACCAGUACAGAUAAGCCCCCGCGGGGCGGAGAUUUCUACCUUCUGCACUUACUCCCCAUCAGAAGAUCGAGUUUUAUGCAUCACAGUUAACAUGUCAGCUGGCCCUCCAGGCCCCCGCCCCCACCCCGUCCACGUUGCUGUGUCGUGAGGUGCAGCGGGUCACCCUGUGGCCCGUCCUGUGACCCAUAUUUAGCCGUGUUUGGGACUCCGUGUCUUCAAUGGUUUGUUAGUUGCCAUUACAACUUUGUCUGGGUAGAGUUUUUGAGUUUUUGCAGUUCAGUAUCCCUCUGUCUAUUCACACUUCGUGUUAGUGGUAACUCAGUUUGUCUUUAAAUAGUUACGGAAGGGAUACGUCAUUUGUUAAUGCUUUUGUGAAGUGAGUUACACGAGCUUUCUGUAUUUUAAUGCUUUAGUGUUUCAGUUUUAUAAGUGAAGAUUUUAUUUUAAAAACCAGUGGGAAAGAGUGGGGGGUUUCUUUUUAUGUCUGGGUCAUUCAGGCAGUACAUCUGAAUUAAGCUGAAUGUAGACAAAUAAAGAAAAACAAAACUG
rnacentral:sRNA from 1 species